rnacentral:lncRNA from 1 species
GGGAGGCCUGGCUCUGGUGUGGGCUGCGGGGAGAAGGCGCGGGAAGGAAGGAAGGAGGCGAAGCGGUGCGGGAGGGAGGCGGCCGUUGCCAUGGAAGGAGCUGCAAGCCUCCCUGCAGACCGCGAGCGGAGCCCCCGCACCCCCGGGGCUGGCCCCUGGCCUCCCGCCCCAGCCCGGCCGGCGGCCCCUCCCUGCUCCGCUGUCCGCCUUGGGUACAGAAGCGGCGAGUGGCCCCUUUCCAGGAGGCCUGUUUACCAGCACGACAACGGCAAAUUAGUGCGCUUAAGAGGCAUUCGGCGUUUAUCCCGGCAAACAUGCGCAGCGUGAAGGGGGCCUGCGAGGCCUGCUCCCCGGAAUCUGCUGAAAUGGGGUCUGCUGUGCAUCUUAAUCGACUUACUUCCACCCAUCACAUUAAACGCAUUUAAUCUACUCUUGCAAAUGGCUAAUUUUGAAAAUCCGCUUAUCAGAAUUAGGUCCUCAACAUCCAUAUUUAUUUACUUUCCAUUUUCAUAAUCUUUUUUUUUUUUUUUUCCCCUUGUGUGGGACUGAAUUCCAUUUACUAUUGUCUGGCUCGCUCUCGCCCGUCCCGGGGGGCCGGGGCAGGGGACAAGGGCCAGGUUAGGAGCAAACUGGAAAUGGAAACCUGGCAGGGAUGAAAGGCAUGGGCUCGGGAUUUGAGGACUGGGAGGCUCUUCCCGGGUGGCAGCAUCUUCAGGAAAUCACCAAGAGCUGAGGCUUGAGCAGAGCAGGUUUAAAAAGGCGAUGAGGAAGUCUUGCUGAAUCGCAGGCGCCCGGGGCCUGCCUGGCAGGAAUCAGCAGCCGUGUCAGAAAUGUGCAAGAAAGUGGUUGGGAUCAACUGUCUUCCCCAGCGCCCCCGGUGCCAGGCUCCGUGCUAAGCGCUUCACGUGGACCAGCACUCAUGCUCACGCCAGCCCUGCUCAGUGAAUGCCAGGCGCGUCUCGCAGACAAGAAGACUCCUGCUGUGGCUUAGACCCACAUUUACAUCCAGACUGCACGUCCUCCUCUGCAGCAUGUUGUCAGGUGUGCAAGGCACGUUUUUCCUAUGAGUGUGUAAGAAACACAAGUUUGUGUGUGCAGGACUCAGGCCUGUGAGAAACGCAGACUCAAGGGAGAGAUGGGUGUUCAGAAUCUGGAAGAUGGCUCUCCAGGUCACAACCUGUGCAGCCUCAAGCGUGGAUUCCGCAUGUGGCUUUCCUCACCACGUUUGGGCUCUGCAAGUUUGCUAAGAGUCGCUACAGAGCUAGGAAGAGCCGCCAGGCCUCUUGGCCUCUAAAGGACUUAGCACUCAAUGUUAAUUUUGUUGUUGCCAGUCCCCUAAUGAGCUGAUUUGGCACACAUCUAGAGCAAAAACCUGAAUUUCACUUCGUUUAAUUUACUUUCAACAUUGGCUGGGCACCUCCUAUUGGCCAAGUGAUGUUCUGCAGAAUACCUGGGUGGAAGGAUAAAUCCGAUCUGUUUCGAGCCUUGGGAAGCUCACAUUUACUGGAUUUUACAAGAAAGGCUCAGAACAACAAAGUGUUAACAGAUGCAUACCAGACAAUUUUAUUCUCCCAAAGAACUGCUAAGUUAUGUUGUAGCCAUCUUAGAUUUCCAGAUCUAAUGGGAAUUCUAAAGCAUAAGGCAUUAAUUACAUCUUGGUGGUUGAGAUUAGGGCUGAAUUGUCUGCAGACUUGAACUCAAACCUGCAGUUCUGCCGCCUUCACUGUAUGACCUUGGGCACAUUGGACCCUCAAUAUCCUCAUCUGUGUAAUGGGGGUUAUAUAAAUAUCUACCCAUAGGGCUCCGAAGAUCUAAAUUAAUGCUGUAGGUGGAGCUUUUAGUGAGGUAUCUGACAAAGGCCUACACCUAACAACCAAAUAGUAAGCAUUAUGAUACAUAAUCAUUUACUGAAUCAAACUCAGCAAAUAGAAUUCAAAGACAGAAAUAAACAUUGAUCAAGUGUUUUUCAUUGUUCCGAGUAUGUUGGUGAGCCACCUGGAAAGCUAACGAAGCAGUCAGUGGGUCUUCAGGCCCUGCUGCCAGGUGCUGGCUGAAUGGCAAGGUGGAACAAUGAUUUACUGGGACCCUUCCCUCGUUUCUCUGGCCCCCACCUUUUCCCCUUUCAACUUCCUGCCUCUCUCUAGAAUUAUACAAUAUGCCAAAGUAAAUUCCCUCAGACUUGCAAAUAGCCUAUACUUAAUCCCCCCCACCCCGCCCACCUGAGGAUAAAAACUCCUUGCAGAAGGCAAAAUUUCCUCCCAUCCCGUGUUAGGGAUGUGUGGGCGCAUGUCUGCAGGAAGGGGAAGCCGUGGGAGUGUGUGUGUGUGUGUGUGUGUGUGUGUGUGUGUGUGUGUGUCGAUGCAGGAAGGAAGCGGGCGGGUGUGUGCGCAGGGAGACACCUGUGGGUGUGAGCGUGGGGAUUUGUGAAUGAACGAGCCUGUGUGUGUGCGCGGGGACUGGGUGUGUGGAAGGGGCGGUGGCCCAGAGAAAACCCAGCUCCUCCAGCACUCACUCUGGAUCAGGACCCCUUCCAUCUGAGGGAGCCGAGUAACGUGGGUGGAGUGAGCCAUUGGGACGGCUCACACUCUCUAAGGCGAGGUCAGAGAGAGAGACUGCAGGACCAAGGGCCCAGAUGGGCAAGAGAGUGGAAGGUCAGCCACCAGGCCAUGUGGGGUGUUCUGGGUGGAUUUGAGUGUGUGUUUCCCAGGUGGUGGAUGUGGACUGGCUUUGGAGAUGGGCAAGCUGGUAGGUGAGGGGGCAGAGCUGAGUGGAUACCAGAGAGGAUGACCCACUCAGGGGAUUCUGCCAGCCGUGUCUGGGGCUGCAGGCACAGUGGUUCCAACAGAG